rnacentral:rRNA from 1 species
GGUCCAGACUCCUACGGGAGGCAGCAGUAGGGAAUCUUCCGCAAUGGGCGAAAGCCUGACGGAGCAACGCCGCGUGAGUGAUGAAGGUCUUCGGAUCGUAAAACUCUGUUAUUAGGGAAGAACAUACGUGUAAGUAACUAUGCACGUCUUGACGGUACCUAAUCAGAAAGCCACGGCUAACUACGUGCCAGCAGCCGCGGUAAUACGUAGGUGGCAAGCGUUAUCCGGAAUUAUUGGGCGUAAAGCGCGCGUAGGCGGUUUUUUAAGUCUGAUGUGAAAGCCCACGGCUCAACCGGGGAGGGUCAUUGGAAACUGUAAAACUUGAGUGCAGAAGAGGAAAGUGGAAUUCCAUGUGUAGCGGUGAAAUGCGCAGAGAUAUGGAGGAACACCAGUGGCGAAGGCGACUUUCUGGUCUGUAACUGACGCUGAUGUGCGAAAGCGUGGGGAUCAAACAGGAUUAGAUACCCUGGUAGUCCACGCCGUAAACGAUGAGUGCUAAGUGUUAGGGGGUUUCCGCCCCUUAGUGCUGCAGCUAACGCAUUAAGCACUCCGCCUGGGGAGUACGACCGCAAGGUUGAAACUCAAAGGAAUUGACGGGGACCCG